UUAGGAAUCUUGCGCAAUGGGGGCAACCCUGACGCAGCGACACAGCGUGGAGGAUGAAGGUCUUCGGAUUGUAAACUCCUUUUAUAUGGGAAGAAUAGAUGACUGUACCAUAUGAAUAAGUACCUGCUAACUACGUGCCAGAAGCAUCGGUGAUGCGUAGGGUACGAACGUUAUCCGGAUUUACUGGGCGUAUAGAGAUGCGUAGGCGGUUUGAUAAGUCUUGAGUUAAAGACCUCGGCUCAACCGAGGGAGAGCUUUCGAAACUAUCAGACUUGAGACAUAGAUGGGUGAACGGAAUUCCGAGUGGAGUGGUGAAAUACGUUGAUAUUCGGAGGAACAUCAGUGGCGAAAGCGGUUCACUGGCUAUUGUCUGACGCUAAGGCUCGAAAGCGUGGGUAGCAAAACGG
rnacentral:rRNA from 1 species